GCUGCUUGAGGUGACUGCUGUGCCAAGAGACUCACUCAUAGACAAUAGCACACAACUCGUUUCAUCCGUUGUAAUCUUAGCGGCCGUCUCGGAGCAUGUGACGGUUGCUGUAAGGCCGACGGAACAUUAAUGCCAUUUAACGACUAGACUGUUGUUUGUCCGGAAGCCAAGACAAAUAAUUUAGGCGUGGGCGUACAAUCCUCUAAACAAUGAAACAUUUCGUGCUAUUGUCGCCCAAAACACAGCAGUGGCCGAGGCAUGUGUUGUUGCCAAAUUGACGACCUCUUUAGUAAUCUGACUGCU